rnacentral:misc_RNA from 2 species
AUUGGCGUGUGAGGGCAUGUCGGAUCCCUGCUCGGGCAGCGACGACAUUUCGUGCACGUCUCUUCAAUCGUUGGCUCAAGUGCGUGCAAGCCUUGGCCGUUGUCGGUCUCCUGUGCUGCAUACCUACCGCGAGGGCAUUCGGUCGGCUCAAACAUCCCAUUUUCGCCUUGUGCCGUGCCUCCCCAGGCUGCGGCACGGGGUGAACCACGAAGCAUCUGUCGUGUUCCACUUCUCGAUCGCGUUUGGCGCCCUCGGGUUUGUUGGCCCAUGGCGGCAUGCUUGAUCUCUCGGAUUCGGAAAACUCAGUCGGUAUGAGGCCCUCGGGCCUCUAUUUGCCCCAAACAUAGCGUGUUAUACGCUCGUCCGAACGACUGCCGCUCUCGUUUUGAUCGGGCCCUCGUGUCUCGAUUCAUGCGGCGACGGCGUCGACGAGGAAUGCUAC